CACAUACCAUGUUGAAGAAACGUGGACACCAAGCAGGCCAGCCAAAGGAUUCUCCAUCCUGUACAGCCCAUCACUGAGAAGAUGCGUGUGUGCUUUCCUCCAUACAGGAAUAUGGUCGGAACUAAAGGCAAAGAGAGGAAACGGAGUUACUUUCGGAUAUGGAUAUAUAUGAAGAGUACCAACAAUAGCAGAACUACACCGAGAGCAAUAAAAGGCUGAGUGCAAAUGGAAAAGAUUGAAAACACAAGAGUUAUCUUCAGCAAAAGGAUAAAUGUGACCCUGGAUCAUCACAAGUGUCUUAAGAUUUAUGCAUUAUCUGAAAUUGAAUAAAGAAGCUCUCCGUUGAUGUGUGGUUUUGUUAAGACAAGACAAUAUCUGGCCCGAGAUACAACAAUUUGAAAAUGUGGAAUCUAAGUUUAGUUGUAAAGGGUUAAAAAAUCGAAAUACUGAGAAAAUUGUGUGUAAAGCUGUCUAAAUAAAGGGCUCUUAAUAAUCAAACACAGGAAAAUAGAGUUUUUAUAUAUUAAAGUUAGUAAAUUAAAAAAAAAAACUUCAUGAACAUGGUCUUUACUCAAUAUUACAAUGAUUUUUGCUAUUUAAAAAAAAAGAAAUUCCAUAAAAUCGUCAAAUUAUACCCAGGCAUGGUUUUGUGAUCCAGGGUCAUAAAUGCACAUGUUGUGUAAAACAUCUACUGGACAUUCUCACCCUUCUUGUUCUUCUCCUUGGUCACCACAGUCAUGGACAUGGUGUUAAAGCCAGUCUCAUUGGAGCUGGAGCUGGGUAAUCUGCUAACUUGCAAAGAUCUGAAUGCACAUCUCAACGUGCUCUUAUUACUCCUGUCUCUCGGGUCUCCAUCUUUGCGCUUCUCCAAGCCUGAAGACACCCAGUAAUCCACCUGCAGCCCAAUGGCGUCCACGCCAUGAGGCAUGCUGGGGCUUCUAGAUAACAUUGUCAGACCAGAUUUCAUUUUUUUUAGCAGGCUUGCAUUUUUCAGUGAUAACAGCAAUGUAAGAAACUGCAGAGCGGAGCAUUUUUCUGUAUGGCAUUUUACACGAACCCUAGAGCAGCCAGGCCUCCACUUAGUGAUGGUGACGGAGGCGGCGUUGCAGAAUCUUUCAUCAUCCCAGUUGGAGAUCCAUGAGCAGGUGGAGAUGUUGAGGGAACUGCCAAGCUCAAAGCCAGACCCUCCUCGAAAUCUGCACCUACAGUCAGCAUGGCCUCAGCAAUGGGGAGCUGAUGGGUAACCACAGAUCCAUUGAUGUACUGUAAUAUUCGUCCUGCCACAUCCACAAUAU